UACAGGGGGGGCAAGCGUUGUUCGGAAUUACUGGGCGUAAAGGGCUCGUAGGUGGCCAACUAAGUCAGACGUGAAAUCCCUCAGCUUAACCGGGGAACUGCGUCUGAUACUGGAUGGCUUGAGUUUGGGAGAGGGAUGCGGAAUUCCAGGUGUAGCGGUGAAAUGCGUAGAUAUCUGGAGGAACACCGGUGGCGAAGGCGGCAUCCUGGACCAACACUGACACUGAUGAGCGAAAGCCAGGGGAGCAAACGGG
rnacentral:rRNA from 1 species